GUCUGACCAAUGCUGGGAGGGAGGCGGGGGCAGUUCCAUUGACCGCCUUGUAGGACGGAACCGUCGUCCUGAAUCUGAUGUGAACAUAGUGCAUAUGCACUAUGUUCAAUUCACUCAUACUCAAACAAAACCUCAAGAGUCAGAAACCAGCUGAUACAUCAGACUUGGUUGACAUCAGGUUCUGUUCGGGUCAGACGUCCCCUCAAUGUCACGAAGGCAUUGUUCCAGCGUCUUUCAAGACUGCCAGAAUAAAGCCUCUCCUCAAAAAACCAACUCUUAAUACCACCGACAUCCAGAACUACAGACCGGUAUCUCUUCUUUCAUUCCUGUCUAAAACACUGGAACGUGCCGUUGCUAACUAACUGUCCUCCUAUCUCUCAUCUAACAACCUCCUUGACCCUCACCAGUCAGGCUUCAAGAA
ensembl:lncRNA